ensembl:lncRNA
GGAAAAUGAAAGUAAUUGGAAGUGGAGUGUUUUGGGAGAACUAGGUAAAAAGAAAUAUCAAAGAAAAAGUUCAAGUUUUAUAGAAUCUUCCAGCCAUGCCAAACCUCCUAAAAUCAUGUGGAUGAGCCAGGUCAAAUGAAGGGUGUUAGUGCUGGAAAGAAAAUGUCCCAAUUUUUUCUGUCAUAAUAAACUCACUAUCUGUUUUGACCCCCAUAAAUUUUCACUCAAUCUAUUUCUGGCUUUCCACCUAAUUUAUAGGCUCCUCCAAAAAGCCCAAAUCAUGAGAGUUCACAGUUCAGAUCCAAACAGAGACUGAGAAGUUCAGAAUUGACCUCUUUGUCUGUCCUCACAGAGAAGGUUGAGGAGGAAAAUACAACUUGAGUAUUUUGGUACUUUAGAAGAAAGUGUUGAAUAUGCAGCCGGGAGGGCUCACGGAUUUAAUCCCUUUUCCCUUCUGUAGGAUCUAAGAAAAACAAAAUAAGCUUGACUUGAAGCAAGUGAAUAAAUGAAUUUACAAAGGAUAAUCUAAUUUGUGUCUUGGACUGCCAGCAAUUAUGAAUGUUUAUUAACUCGUCUGUCUGACUUUUGGAAGAGAAGAGUGCAAGAAUCCCUGGAGCAACCCAACUCACACAGAGUAGUGAAAAAUAAAAAAUAAUAAAAAAAAAAAACAACUCACACAGAAUGCUACACUUCCAGUGUACCUGUUGGGCUUAAUGUGGUCUGAAUUGAACAAAACUUAUAGUCACAGUAUUUGUAUUGACUGCUCAGGAACCACUACCAUGAGCAAAGCAAUAUCAAAAAUGACUGGAUGUUCUAUCCUGCUGAGAUAAAAAACAGGUGGCCAAAGCCCAAUCCAGCAGCAGACUAAAGCAUAUUGCAGUGAGGUUUCUCUCCACAUCAGCAAGUUUGAGGACACAGUGCUUUUCAGCUGUUUUCUUCAGGUGGCUAUACAUUCUGAGUAUGUGUUAUGGCAUAUCACUUGUUUUAUUUCCACUGUCUCAUUUCUAAUCCCCCUUCUUGACUCUUUACAGAGACUGAGCUCUUCCAUUGAUGCAAAGGACAAUUUAAUCUGGAAACUCACCAGUCCCAGUGCCUGUGCCUCCUCUAUUUCUUCUGAACCCUUCCUCUACUGAAACAUUAUCACCACUUCUCUCUGAACUUUCUAUCAAGACCAGCUUGCCUACAUCUUUUCUGUAAAUCCAAGUACUCACUGUAAGUAGCCUGUAAGGAGCUAUAGAGCUCAUGCAACUACAAUAAGAUGUAAAAGAUUUGUUUUUUCUACCUUUCCCAAUGUGCACAUCCACCUUCCCUGACUAGCUUCUCAGAAAACUUUAAUCAAUGUUUUCAUUACUCAAACACAUUUAUAUGUCCCCAUAGUUAACGAUGCUAGUAGAAUGAACAGAACUGCUGCAAUAAUACGUGUUAUUAAUAGAGAGCAGAGUAAGUCAAAUGCAGUUACUGAAGUAGUUAUUAGGAUGAUUAGUGGAGGUAGAGUUGAUUUUGCUUACAGUACAAGUUUGCCUUUGACAUUUCUCAGUGCAUAGUCUGUCUUUCAAGAUCAAAUCUGGUGAUGCAUUGCAACAAUGACAAUAAAGGCCCUGUUACCACUGUAGAAUCA